AACGAACGCUGGCGGCAUGCCUAACACAUGCAAGUCGAACGAGACCUUCGGGUCUAGUGGCGCACGGGUGCGUAACGCGUGGGAACCUGCCCUUAGGUUCGGAAUAACUCCCCGAAAGGGGUGCUAAUACCGGAUAAUGUCUUCGGACCAAAGAUUUAUCGCCUUUGGAUGGGCCCGCGUUGGAUUAGCUAGUUGGUAGGGUAAAAGCCUACCAAGGCGACGAUCCAUAGCUGGUCUGAGAGGAUGAUCAGCCACACUGGGACUGAGACACGGCCCAGACUCCUACGGGAGGCAGCAGUGGGGAAUAUUGGACAAUGGGCGAAAGCCUGAUCCAGCCAUGCCGCGUGAGUGAUGAAGGCCUUAGGGUUGUAAAGCCCUUUUACCCGGGAUGAUAAUGACAGUACCGGGAGAAUAAGCUCCGGCUAACUCCGUG
rnacentral:rRNA from 1 species